rnacentral:lncRNA from 1 species
CACUUGUCACUGUGACUUAUCGCUUAUCUCACUAGGCUAAGUGAUUUAUCUGGGUAUCACUUCUUUCUGCAUCUGGCCUUUGUCAAUAGCAGUGAACAAAGAGAAGAAAAGGAAGCAGGAUUCUUCUUGGAGAUGUUGCAGAGGAGGAGGAGGAGGAGGAGGAGGAAGAAGAAGAAGAAGAAGAAGAAGAAGAAGAAGAAGAAGAAGAAGAAGAAGAAGAAGAAGAAGAAGAAGAAGAAAACGAAAAGGUGGCAGAAGAAAGAAAAAGUGGAAGAAAGAAAUAAAAAAGAAACACUUGAAGCAUUUUUAGGGUUGUAAAUCACAGGUUCUUGGAAGGCUGAGGCAAGUAGAUCACAAGUUUUAGACUCACUUAACCUACUGUCUAAAAAAAAGA